GGAACCCGGCCGACAGAAGAUGGCGGAUGAGCAGCGUGCAGGGUUUUCUCCCUGUGGCUCACUCUCUCUUACUGUGCUGGGCGGUUGCUUCCUCUCCUGCUGCCCUUGGGAGUCAGACUCCAGGUUCUUCAGCCUGUGGCCCCUGGGGCUCUCGGGCCUUGGAGGACUGACUAGGAGCACACGGUGGGCCUCUCUGGUUUGGGGGCCUGGGACGUGGCGGAGCCCUGCAGCUUCUGUGCGGCCUGUUCUGGGCGUCGCGUUGAAACGCCAGCCAGUUCCCCAAGAUGGACGUAGAACUACUCUAGGAAAUUCCUCAAACACUGCCAAGUACUUCAUGGCUGAAAGCCAAAUAUUCAGUCCCCCUGGGAUUACAGGAGUGUUGAAGAAAUGUUGUGACACAUCAGAACACCGCGAAAUACAUGGACACUUUCAAAUCAUGGAAGACUCAAGCCCACCAGGUAUUUUUGAAAAAAGUACUCUGUGAAAAACAGAAACUGCAAGCAAGACAGAUACCAGGAUUAGGGAUCACGGUGACUUCUACCAUCGCUGGAUACUCCCAAAAGGGUUCUCGAGACAGCAGCUGUGUCUGCCCUGCUUUGGCAUUCUUUCCCAGGCAUGGCGACCGUAAGUCAAAAUGUAAUCCUUAGCUGGUCAUACAAGCCCUGUCAUUACUCAUAUAUGCAGAUGAUAUUUUAAAUUCUUCCAGUUUUUUUUUAGGGAGGAGUAUUAAAACAUGAGUAAAAAUUAAUUUGUGGGCUCACUGACAAUGGGGUUUAAUUUGCAUUUUUAUCCUCAUUGAUUAGCACCAAGCCCAGAAGAACUUGUGUUCAUUAAGAACUUGUUGAUUGAGCAGCUAGAAAGGGGCUUGUCUUCCAUAAGGAGAUCUCUACUCUUGUGGGUUUUACUCUCUAGCAGAGGGACAUGAGCAACAGACAAUAAAAUAAAUAUUACAUGGUAUAUUUGAACAAUAUAAAUGCCACGAAAAUGAAAAAUAAAAGUGCAGAGCAAGGAAGAGAGAUGAGAAGGCCAACUGAGAUCUUAAAUGAAGUGGGGAUGGUGGGCCUCACAGAGAGGAGAUGACACACUUGAAGAAGGUGAAGGGGCAAGCACAGAUACUCUGGGGAAUGUGCAUUCCUGCCAGGACCAUCAGUGCUAAAGCCGUAAGUGGAGGUGUGCCUGGCACUUGCCAGGAAUAAUGAGGAAGGGGAGGUGGCAGAGGAGAGCUGAGCUGCCAGGAGAAUGGCACAGGACAUUGGAGGGCUGAUGAGGUCCAGAUGACAUGUGGCUUCACAAACCAUUGCAAGGAUAUGGCAUCUGCUCUGAGUCAAAUGGAAAUUUAUUGCAGGAUUUGAAAAAAGAGUGAUGGCUGUGUCCAGUGGCUCAUG
rnacentral:lncRNA from 1 species